rnacentral:hammerhead_ribozyme from 13 species
AAUCGGUCUUUGCUCACCUGAUGAGCCCCAAGAAGGGCGAAACCGGUC